rnacentral:lncRNA from 1 species
AAAGGAGUGAGUGACGCUGCGGGCGGGGAGAGGGAGCGGCGUGGUCACGUGAGCCCGGCCUCUGACGUCACCGGUGUCCAGACCUCCCAAGCUGCACAUUGGCUGCUCUGCCUUGACAGCAAAGCCGGAGGAACGUCGCUCGGCGAGGCCGCCGCAGCAGGUUUUGCGAGACUCCUUCUCUGGAGGUUUUAAGAAGAAGCUAGAUGGCCAUCUGUCAGGAGGGUUUGGAUUGUGUCUUCCUGCAUGGCAGAAGGCGGCUGGACUGGAUGGACUUUGUACUAUACCUUCCAACUCUUAGGUUUCUAUGAUUCUAUAAUAUUUUGACUAAACAAAGCCAUGUCCUGAUGAAAAUAAAUGUCUUCUGAAGGGUUCUAAGACCAAAAAUGUUUGGGAACUUCUGGAAUAGAUAUAUGUGUGUGUGUGUGUGUGUGUGUGUGUGUAUAUAUAUAUAUAUAUGCAUGUAUGUGCGUGCACACACAUAUAUAGUAACAUCAUGAGAGCAAAAUACCAACAGCAGACCACUAUACUGUCAUCCAGUAAAGAAAAUCUGCAUCGUCUUUCUCUUUUUAAAUGUUAGAGUGGGCACUACAAAGAUCUGUUUAUGAAUAAAUAUAGCAAAGCUGUUCAAAAUGCUUGAGAUUCUAUGAUUAAAAAUAAUCUGCAUAUAUAUAUAUAUAUAUAUAUAUAUAUAGAGAGAGAGAGAGAGAGAGAGAGAGAGAGAGAUCUCAACUUUGAUUUCAGAACAGGCUGAAAUUUAAAAGCCAUGUGAAUACAAGGAGCGAUGUUCUCUUUUCUGUCUGUAAUUUUUUUAAUGAGGUCACGAUGAGGACAAUUGCAUGCUUAACGAACACAGACAAUGUGUUUUUUGUUCAUUUUAUUUCAGGGAACACACAGUAGGUGUACAGUAGCAUAAACGUUGGACUUGCCAGGGUUGGACAGUUUCUUUCUGCUACCUGUUAAUCCACAUCUUCACAUUGAGAGGGGAAAGCAUAGGUGACUGUCACUUUAAGAGUAGAAAAUCACUUAUCUUAUGUGUCAGUAGUUCCCUUUCACAUUCUGCCUCCCUAUCACACCCACAUGUGGAAACUUAAAGUCUGGCAAUACAUUCAUCUUACAUUCUUCACAAGGUCAGUAUUACUUUUUUGUUUUUAAUCAGGAGAAACAACAAUAUCCAAAAACCAAGAGAUCACUUGCUCUGCCCAAAGUCCCUUACAUUAAAGGAGAUUGACACCAGUUGAAAAAAACAUUUUUUCCAUGGAAUCCUAUGGUUCUACAUCAACACCCAUAGGAUCAAGAGACUACUGGUGGUUAGGCAAUAAAACAGGAUGGGAAACUUUUGAUGGUUCCCAGCACACCUGUUUUUCAGU